UGGAGCAUAAAGUAGCAUUCUGGAUGGCUAGUGCUUCAUCUUAUCCUCCUCGAGGACAAGGACAUGAAACCAAACGCAUAAUGAUGGGACGAUGGUGGAGGACAGAUAAAGAACCACCACAAAUAUGGAGUGUCGGAUAUUUAUGUUUACUUUACCACAGCUCUUCCCUCUCUCUUUUCUAUUUAUUCUCUACUCCCCACCCUAUUUCAGUAUCGUAUCUUUUUCUCUCUCCUCUUUUUUUCUUUAGGUUAUCGGACUCUCUUGGG
rnacentral:lncRNA from 1 species